rnacentral:rRNA from 1 species
UACGUAGGUGGCAAGCGUUGUCCGGAUUUACUGGGCGUAAAGAGCGCGCAGGCGGUCGUUCAAGUCGCGUGUGAAAGCCCCCGGCUCAACUGGGGAGGGUCAGCGCGAUACUGAUCGACUGGAAGGCAGGAGAGGGUAGUGGAAUUCCCGGUGUAGCGGUGAAAUGCGCAGAUAUCGGGAAGAACACCCGUGGCGAAGGCGGCUCUCUGGGACGGUACUGACGCUGAGACGCGAAAGCGUGGGGAGCGAACAGG